rnacentral:tRNA from 1 species
GGAGAGAUGGCCGAGUGGUCGAAGGCGCUCGCCUGCUAAGCGAGUAGGGGGUGUCAAGCCUCCUCGAGGGUUCGAAUCCCUCUCUCUCCGCCA